UGGGGAAUAUUGGACAAUGGGCGCAAGCCUGAUCCAGCCAUGCCGCGUGAGUGACGAAGGUCUUCGGAUUGUAAAACUCUUUUGGCGGGGACGAUAAUGACGGUACCCGCAGAAUAAGCCCCGGCUAACUUCGUGCCAGCAGCCGCGGUAAUACGAAGGGGGCUAGCGUUGUCCGGAAUCACUGGGCGUAAAGCGCACGUAGGCGGAUGUGCCAGUCAGGGGUGAAAUCCCGGAGCUCAACUCCGGAACUGCCUCUGAUACUGCACGUCUUGAGUUCGAGAGAGGUGGGUGGAAUUCCUAGUGUAGAGGUGAAAUUCGUAGAUAUUAGGAAGAACACCGGUGGCGAAGGCGGCUCUCUGGAACGAUACUGACACUGAGACGCGAAAGCGUGGGUAGCGAACAGGAUUAGAUACCCAAGUAGUCCCUGAGCGGGCUGGCAAGGCGCAU
rnacentral:rRNA from 1 species